GACAGAGGAUGCAAACGUUGCUCGGAAUUACUGGGCGUAAAGCGCGUGUAGGCGGUCUGGUAAGUCGGACGUGAAAGCCCGGGGCUCAACCCCCGGAAGGGCGCUCGAUACUGCCGGACUUGGGUUCUGAAGAGGAGAGCGGAAUUCCCGGUGUAGAGGUGAAAUUCGUAGAUAUCGGGAGGAACACCAGUGGCGAAGGCGGCUCUCUGGGCAGAUACCGACGCUGAGACGCGAAAGCGUGGGAAGCAAACAGG
rnacentral:rRNA from 1 species